rnacentral:rRNA from 1 species
GCUUUACACAUGCAAGUCGAACGGCAGCGGGGGCUUCGGCCUGCCGGCGAGUGGCGAACGGGUGAGUAAUGCAUCGGAACGUGCCCAUGUCGUGGGGGAUAACGUAUCGAAAGGUACGCUAAUACCGCAUACGUCCUGAGGGAGAAAGCGGGGGACCGUAAGGCCUCGCGCGAUUGGAGCGGCCGAUGUCGGAUUAGCUAGUUGGUGAGGUAAAGGCUCACCAAGGCGACGAUCCGUAGCGGGUCUGAGAGGAUGAUCCGCCACACUGGGACUGAGACACGGCCCAGACUCCUACGGGAGGCAGCAGUGGGGAAUUUUGGACAAUGGGCGCAAGCCUGAUCCAGCCAUGCCGCGUGAGUGAAGAAGGCCUUCGGGUUGUAAAGCUCUUUCGGCCGGGAAGAAAUCGUGUUCUCUAACAUAGGACAUGGAUGACGGUACCGGACUAAGAAGCACCGGCUAACUACGUGCCAGCAGCCGCGGUAAUACGUAGGGUGCGAGCGUUAAUCGGAAUUACUGGGCGUAAAGCGUGCGCAGGCGGUUUUGUAAGACAGAUGUGAAAUCCCCGGGCUUAACCUGGGAACUGCGUUUGUGACUGCAAGGCUGGAGUACGGCAGAGGGGGGUGGAAUUCCACGUGUAGCAGUGAAAUGCGUAGAGAUGUGGAGGAACACCGAUGGCGAAGGCAGCCCCCUGGGCCUGUAC